rnacentral:rRNA from 1 species
GAUGAACGCUAGCGGCAGGCCUAAUACAUGCAAGUCGAACGGUGUCUUCGGACAUAGUGGCGCACGGGUGCGUAACACGUAUGCAACCUACCUUACAUUGGGGGAUAGCCUUUCGAAAGGGAGAUUAAUACCGCAUAAGACAGUAGCUGGGCAUCCAGCAGCUGUUAAAGAUUUAUCGAUGUAAGCUGGGCAUGCGUCCAAUUAGCUAGUUGGUGAGGUAACGGCUCACCAAGGCAAUGAUUGGUAGGGGAACUGAGAGGUCAAUCCCCCACACUGGCACUGAGAUACGGGCCAGACUCCUACGGGAGGCAGCAGUAGGGAAUAUUGGGCAUGGACGCAAGUCUGACCCAGCCAUGCCGCGUACAGGAUGAAGGCGUUAUGCGUUGUAAACUGCUUUUAUACAGGAAGAAACGACUCUUGCGAGAGGCAUUGACGGUACUGUAUGAAUAAGCACCGGCUAACUCCGUGCCAGCCGCCGCGGUAAGAC